AAGUUUCCUUUAAGUCGAAUCUGUUCUUAUCACCAUUAUUUUUCAUCAUUAUGAUAUUGGUAAGUCAUUAGUCUGAAACAAUGUUAAUGUCUUGUAAUGUAAGUGUGUCAACUAAGUGAACUAAGUAUAGUUUUUAGGUGCCCUCCAAAUAUUAUAAGGUAGAAGAAUCAAAAAAUCCAUUAUUAUAACUUACAAAUCUCUUUUCUAUUUUAUUUCCUACUUCUAAGACUAAAAUUACACUUGAAAGCAUUGAUAUUUUGUGUAUGACUACCAUGUAAAACCGUUUUAACUUUUCUGAUUGAUGUGGAUUUCUAAUCAUCAAAAGCUGAUUAUCCCCAAAUUUGGCUUAGUAGUAGGACAUGCAUUUAUUUCCAAAUAGUUUCAGGAAUCUUGGCAGAUCUCAACUGUGUCCUUUAUUUAAUGUUUCCUCACAAGGCUGAAAAUGCAGUAUCACCAGGGUUGUGGCCUCAUCUGAUGGCUUGAUAGUGGAAAGAUUUGCUUAUAAAUUCACCUGUGAGUCCCAUCAAUAACCACACUUCCUCCUGUGCUUUUGUACUGAUGGCCACCAUUCUUUUUGACCAUUCUUUACCCUCAUUUCCUUACAUGUAGGCCUCAGAAUAGGGCAGCAUACAAAUGUCUGUUUACUUCAUCAAAUAAUACAAUCGAAGAAAGAUUAGAAGAUAGUAGCAAUAAAAAAGUGACAAUGUUUAGAAUUCUAUGUUCAUCAUAACAAACAAACAAGCAAACAAACAAAAGAAACAAGUUGAGCCCUCAUAUACAUAUGGGAUGGGAGAUCACUCAAAGACACAGAUAGCUAAUGGCAGAAACCAUUAGGGAAUUGUUCAGAAGUUACCUAUCACAUGGAUAUGUAUAGUUUGUUUCUUACUUAUUGCAACUGUUUUUAUAUGUCUGUAUAACUUCAGAAUAGUCUUAGUUGGUGUUUCUGCUUUUGAUUCUGUUCUGUUGUGACCAUGACACAAUAUGGAACAUUUCACUAGCUGUCCAUUUUCUUCAGGAGGACAUGGAAAUUCCUUCUCUUAUAUGUCAAGGUCAUUUAACUUUUUACUUUCCCUAAAUUAGAGUGAGCUCCUUUGCUGUUGCAUUUGAGAUUUACAAGUUUCUACAGCUUUCCUCUGAACUCACUUCCCCCAGUUUUUCUUUUGGCCUCUCCUUAUGGUUGUCAUUUCCAUAAGAAUUCACCCAUUUCAGUAUAUUCUCAUUUUUACUCACCUGUGUUUCACCUUAGACACUGACUUUUUUGCAAUUAAGAAGAAUUUCUAUUUUGUUUAGUUUUCCUAUCAUGUACCACAUCAUCUAAUAAAUACAGGCAUGUGUGAUGAUUCACAACAGAUUUAUAGCUGUGUAUAUUUGUUUUCAUGAUAACAAUAUAAAUAACAUGAACUAUGAGUAGUAGCCACAUAAUAGAAACUGAAAUUCUGUUAGUUUCUAGCAAUUAAUUUAGUCACUCAUACUCUCAUGCAUACACUUACACACACACACAUAUACAGAGAGACAGAGAGAGUGAAAAAUACGUGUACAAGGUAGUUGGUGAAGUUGCCCUAUAACCCAUGCAUUAAGAAGCAUCAUUCUAGCCAUUUUGCAGAUUAACAAAAUGACCUGGGAAAAAAUCAAGCUGAUUUCAUAGCCUCAAUGCUUCACUACUCUGCUAGGCUAAGUAAAUGCACAAUAACAUGAAUGUAGGAGAUAGCAACACACACUUGGUUCUACAGCUUUUACUAUUAAACAUUGAUUGCUUUGCUAUCUUUCUUUAUGUUGUAUCUGUGCCCAAUUAAAGACCUACUAACAGAAAGCUCUGUUGAAGACCUUUUUUCUCCCUCACAGAAAGGCUAUUUAUGUGAAUGCUUGCUCUUUAAAGUAGAUUAUGCUUGCUUACCCAGUUGUACAGAGCUUAGGUAUAGUACUAAUGCAUUUCUAUUAGUUGGAUUCAAUAAAAUGUAAAGCUAGCUGAAUGAGUCAGUUUGCCUACAGAAUGGUUUGCAGUAUGUUGAAACAUGCCUCGUGUUAUAAAACUAACAUAGAUUGGGUGGCAGUAUGCUGAAGUUGCUAGGCACACUGGCUUAAGUUUCUUAUGCUUGUACUGUCUACCUUUGGUUUACGCAUGCACAAACGUUAAACUUGUCCAAAGUUCCCCUGCCUUCCAAGCACUGUUUCCUUAUGUAUGUUGUCAUCUGUAGGUACUAACUUAAGGAUCAUAAUUUUUUUAAAAUUGAUUUUGCAAGAACCUAGGAAAAAUACGUAAGGCAUUCAAAUUGCAAAUAUAAUUAUUUUGAAAUAUCAGUAGUUCUUUCAUUAGAAUGGUUUAUUGGGAGUUGACUGCGUCUGGCUUCAUGUGAUAAGAACAGACUGAUAACAUGCUCCUGGCAAUGUGUAAUGAUAAUGUGUUGUUGCCUAGCAUGUAAUUGCUUUUACUAGAAGGCAACAAAAGUGACUACUCUGUGACAUGUGAUGCUAUUAAGAUAUUUGUAAUUUUCUUUCAAGAGAGAGGCUGGCAUGAUUAGGUACUCUUUCUUACAUUAACAGCAAUACUAAAGAUGCUAUCAUCACCUUCAUCAAUUAAACCUACUCUUUGCUCUUGUGGUAUCAGAUCACAUCCUUGGUAAUUAUUGGUAUUUUGAUUCUAUUUCACAUACUUUUGUUUCUUUAGUGCUAAUAAUUAAAGAAUUUAAUAUGUGAUUGCAUUAUCAAAUGCUAAGUUUAUGUGUACAAUGGAUCAUAAUAUGGUCCUAAGGUCUUUGUAAUAUAGUUCAUAAGACAUUCAAAGUAUUAAUAAUGGUAUGUCACAAUCCAUUUCAUGACAUAAUUAUAAAAAUUCAAAAGAUUAUAUGAUUUUUUAAGUGUGAGACAGGAGUUUGGAAUACAAAUUUAUUUUUGAGUAUUUCAUGUGAAGAUAAAAUUUAGCUAAGGGACUCCUUAAAAUUUUUUUUAAUCUUUUGCAAAAAGACUUCCAAUCAGUCAUAUUAUUUUAUAACUAUUAUUUGAAAGGCAAAGUCAUGGUAGGGGUGCACAGAGGAGAGAGAUAUUUCAUUCGUUGGUUCACUCCCCAAAUGGCUGCAGUGACCAGAGCUGUGUGAGCUGAAAGUCUGGAGCCAGAAUUUUUAGCUGAGUCUCCCAGAUAGGUGCCAAACACUUGGACCUUCCUAUGCUGCUUUCCCAGCUACAUUAGCAUGGACUUGGAUUGCAAGCAGAGUGGCCAGGACAUAAACUGGUGCCUAGAUGGAAUGCCAGGCAUUGUAGACAGUGGCUUAAUGCAUCAUAACGCUGGCCCCAUGAGCCAUAUUUUUGUUUCAGUGGACUUAUAUCUACCAUAGGAUAUAAUUGUAGAAUUAUAUAAUUGUAGAAUUUUCUUAUAAAUUAUUUUAUCUGUUAAAACUGGUGGUCAUCCUUGUUUAAUGACAGCAUUACAUACUGUAAUUAGUAGGGAACAAUGUUAUUUUGGUUUUUAGUAGUAUUCUUUAAGCUGACAUUUUUUCCCCAUUUUUGGCUACUACUUCCUAUGACCAUUGACACUCAUUAAUGACAAGGAGCUAUGGAUAAAAUUUGUAUCCAUAGCACAGAACAAAACUAACUGAACUAGUAUGUGUUGAAUUCAUUAGCUUUGUGUUUUGAUGUGGUCAUCAAAUAAAUUGAAACAGUUGACUAUGUGUAGAUACAUAUAAUGAUGAAGAUAACUAGAGUUACAUUCUGUUCCACACAGUCUUGUGGACUUAGUACUGCUUGUUUACUGUAGGGUUCUUAAUUUUUGUUUAGUAUUGAAGACCACUGAAAGUCUAUUUUAAAUUUAGUACAUUCACAGAUGAAAGUAUGACAAUAUAUAAUUUUUCUCAUUAUUGAAAUCAUAUUUUAAAUUUUGGACCUUCCGAGACAAACCUAUAACAAUAUAUAAUUGAUCAUAUUUUUUAAGCCAAGAUGAGCCAACAGUUCAUUUGUUCUUUUCAGGGACAUAACUGAGUGUUCUUAAACUGAAGUAUAUUAAGAGGUGGUGACUUACCCACAGUUUUUAAUUUUUUUAGUAUUAUAAUAUUAUGUUAACAUUUUUACUGUUUUACUGAUAGUGUAUAUAAUCUCAUGCCCUUAGAGACCUUGAAGUUAUCAGUUAGUAUUAUCAAUGAUUUCAGAUUUAAUUAUGUCUUUGGAAACAACAUUAUCAAUUUUCUUAUACACAUUAUAUUUAUACUUCAAUGUUUUCUGUAUUACAUCAUAUUUACUUGAGAGUUAUUAUUAAUAGAUUAGCUUAAUUAGAAUAGGACCUAAUUUGAAGCUAAGAAAAUCAAAGUUUUAUGAAUAUACUCUUUUAUGAAUUUUGUAAAUGAUCAUAAAUGAGUAAUAUAUUUUAAAAUAAUUCAGUUAUAUGAGAUAUAUAGCUGAUUUCUGUUAUUUCCUGGAGAGGAACAGGUAUUUUGAACUUUAGAGGAAUGCAUUGAAGGCAAAGGCGGUUAAAUAUUUUUAUAACGGGUUUUGCUUUUAUUUUGCUUUCUUUAUUUACCUUAACCCAUUUGUGUUCUUCUAGAGAAUAAAUAUGAAGCAAAUCAAAUGAUAAGGCCGGAUCUUUAGGAUUUUUUUUGUAAUCAUCUGUAAAUUUUUUAGC